GACGAACGCUGGCGGCGUGCUUAACACAUGCAAGUCGAACGCUGAAGCCCUUUCGGGGGUGGAUGAGUGGCGAACGGGUGAGUAACACGUGGGUAAUCUGCCCUGUACUUCGGGAUAAGCCUUGGAAACGGGGUCUAAUACCGGAUAGGACCUGUCCUCGCAUGGGGGUGGGUGGAAAGUUCCGGCGGUAUGGGAUGAGCCCGCGGCCUAUCAGCUUGUUGGUGGGGUAGUGGCCUACCAGGGCGACGACGGGUAGCCGGCGCGAGAGGGUGACCGGUCACACUGGGACUGAGACACGGCCCAGACUCCGACGGGAGGCAGCAGUGGGGAAUCUUGCGCAAUGGGCGAAAGCCUGACGCAGCAACGCCGCGUGGGGGAUGACGGCCUUCGGGUUGUAAACCUCUUUCGACAUCGACGAAGGGGCCCUGUUGUGGGGUUUUGACGGUAGGUGUAGAAGAAGCACCGGCUAACUACGUGCCAGCAGCCGCGGUAA
rnacentral:rRNA from 1 species